GUUUGAAGUCUCUCUGUAGGAGGAAAGGUUACGAGAGCAGGGAUCCCAAAUGUGAAGGCAGAUGAGUUCUGGGUUCUCUGCUAUGUUUUCCAUUAGACAAGGUAGAAAAAGUCACUAGGCUAUGGCAAGAAGGACAUCUGGAGAAGUAUCUUGGCAGCCAGAUUCUCAGCUUGUGUUCCCAAUCAGCAGAAUGGGGAAAGUCUGUUUGGUGGUAGGAGAAAAAAUGGUGGUAGUUGAUGCUACCAAUAUCACCAUGUCCUGCUUCUUCUACUUGUGAGAGUCUCCAUAGCUGGGAAAGCCAGAAACAAUGGUGCCAACCUUCCUUGCUCACCAAAGUAGCAGAAUGAUAGACAAAAAGGGGCCUGCCACUUUGCUCUAAAUAGAUGGUGUAUUACUCAAAUUUACCAUGAGAUGAUAAAUAAGUUAGAUUCACACCUCCAAUACCUACGUAUAAGAAGAUUGAGUCGACAGAGAUUUAUGUCUCUCCUUUUCUGUUACCUCUUCCUUGGUAAAGGAGAACUAGAAGGAGAACUAAACUCUUUGGUUUUUCUCCUUCAUGCAUUGGGCUUUGGGAGGGGGCAGGUUAAAAACCAUUAUGGAGGAGAGGGAAUCCUCUUUUCUUGAAAAAGGAUGAAGAAGAAUGAAUACAGGAGGCAACUUCUGAUACUGUGCCAAGUAGUCUUCUCCUAAACUGGGUCAAUGGAAGAGGCACCAUGAAUCUUCCUUUCAGAUAUGAGCUCAGUGGGAAGCAGUCCAACUUGAGCACCUUGAUGAAGAGAUAAUUCACCACCUGAGAAAGAUUUUCAUUUCCAUUUGGUGGAGGGUCCUAAAAUAUAUACCGGCAGUCUAUCCACUGCAUCAUAUCUU